CAAGUCGAGGGGCAGCAUUUCAGUUUGCUUGCAAACUGGAGAUGGCGACCGGCGCACGGGUGAGUAACACGUAUCCAACCUGCCGAUAACUCGGGGAUAGCCUUUCGAAAGAAAGAUUAAUACCCGAUGGUAUAAUUAGACCGCAUGGUCUUGUUAUUAAAGAAUUUCGGUUAUCGAUGGGGAUGCGUUCCAUUAGGCAGUUGGUGAGGUAACGGCUCACCAAACCUUCGAUGGAUAGGGGUUCUGAGAGGAAGGUCCCCCACAUUGGAACUGAGACACGGUCCAAACUCCUACGGGAGGCAGCAGUGAGGAAUAUUGGUCAAUGGACGGGAGUCUGAACCAGCCAAGUAGCGUGAAGGAUGACUGCCCUAUGGGUUGUAAACUUCUUUUAUAUGGGAAUAAAGUUUUCCACGUGUGGAAUUUUGUAUGUACCAUAUGAAUAAGGAUCGGCUAACUCCGUGCCAGCAGCCGCGGUAAUACGGAGGAUCCGAGCGUUAUCCGGAUUUAUUGGGUUUAAAGGGAGCGUAGGUGGACAGUUAAGUCAGUUGUGAAAGUUUGCGGCUCAACCGUAAAAUCGCAGUUGAUACUGGCUGUCUUGAGUACAGUAGAGGUGGGCGGAAUUCGUGGUGUAGCGGUGAAAUGCUUAGAUAUCACGAAGAACUCCGAUUGCGAAGGCAGCUCACUGGAC
rnacentral:rRNA from 1 species